UCAUGGCUCAGGAUGAACGCUGGCGGCGUGCCUAAUACAUGCAAGUCGAACGAACUUCCGUUAAUUGAUUAUGAGGUGCUUGCACUGAAUGAGAUUUUAACACGAAGUGAGUGGCGGACGGGUGAGUAACACGUGGGUAACCUGCCCAGAAGCAGGGGAUAACACCUGGAAACAGAUGCUAAUACCGUAUAACAGAGAAAACCGCCUGGUUUUCUUUUAAAAGAUGGCUCUGCUAUCACUUCUGGAUGGACCCGCGGCGCAUUAGCUAGUUGGUGAGGUAACGGCUCACCAAGGCGAUGAUGCGUAGCCGACCUGAGAGGGUAAUCGGCCACAUUGGGACUGAGACACGGCCCAGACUCCUACGGGAGGCAGCAGUAGGGAAUCUUCCACAAUGGACGCAAGUCUGAUGGAGCAACGCCGCGUGAGUGAAGAAGGGUUUCGGCUCGUAAAGCUCUGUUGUUAAAGAAGAACGUGGGUGAGAGUAACUGUUCACCCAGUGACGGUAUUUAACCAGAAAGCCACGGCUAACUACGUGCCAGCAGCCGCGGUAAUACGUAGGUGGCAAGCGUUAUCCGGAUUUAUUGGGCGUAAAGCGAGCGCAGGCGGUCUUUUAAGUCUAAUGUGAAAGCCUUCGGCUCAACCGAAGAAGUGCAUUGGAAACUGGGAGACUUGAGUGCAGAAGAGGACAGUGGAACUCCAUGUGUAGCGGUGAAAUGCGUAGAUAUAUGGAAGAACACCAGUGGCGAAGGCGGCUGUCUGGUCUGUAACUGACGCUGAGGCUCGAAAGCAUGGGUAGCGAACAGGAUUAGAUACCCUGGUAGUCCAUGCCGUAAACGAUGAUUACUAAGUGUUGGAGGGUUUCCGCCCUUCAGUGCUGCAGCUAACGCAUUAAGUAAUCCGCCUGGGGAGUACGACCGCAAGGUUGAAACUCAAAAGAAUUGACGGGGGCCCGCACAAGCGGUGGAGCAUGUGGUUUAAUUCGAAGCUACGCGAAGAACCUUACCAGGUCUUGACAUCUUCUGCCAACCUAAGAGAUUAGGCGUUCCCUUCGGGGACAGAAUGACAGGUGGUGCAUGGUUGUCGUCAGCUCGUGUCGUGAGAUGUUGGGUUAAGUCCCGCAACGAGCGCAACCCUUAUUACUAG
rnacentral:rRNA from 1 species